AUAAAUUUUUGGAUGGUGAUCAUCGCAGUCUAGUUUGACAAGUAAUAAUCCAUUUGAAUGCGAAGUCAAUAAAGACUUCAACAUUCCAAAAACUUAUAAAAGGUAUCGGAAAAAAAGGAGAGCUCCGCAACCACCUUCACCAUUGCAAAACGAUUAUGAUUUGGAUAAAGAAACUGAUGUUUCAAUCAAUAAUGAUGGAGGAGUUGAUAUUAAAUCACUUGCUAAUGAAAUAGAACUGUUUGUUAAUGAGAGAUCCGAAUCUCCAAUCAAUUACGAUGCAAAAAAAGAAAAAAAAAAUAAUCUGGUUAAACAAAACAUAGAAAAUCGAUCAUUGGCUCUUCUAGAAUCUGAUACCGUUGUUAACUCGAGCGCGCCUGGGUUUGUUGGAAAUACAUUAACAGCUUAUAUUAAGAACCAGCCCAAGACAGUUCAUCCAUAUGGAACUUUGAAUUGUACUGAAGAUAUUAAAGAAAAUGAUUUAGCUACAAAAGAUUUGGAUGUUCAAACUACCCAAUACUCAAAUAAAACUAAAAAAAAUGAAAAUGAAUUUGAAGAUAAUCCUAAUCCAAAUAUUAUUACCAAAUUACACCAGCUACAUGACCACCCUAUGUCAAAAACUAUUAAUAGAAUAGAUAAUUAUUACAAAUCGAACACUUGCAAACCAAAUCACACUUCUAUGAGUUCAGAAGAAACCUACAACCUUCAAAAUUUACUGAAAAAGUUUGAGUCUAAUGAACCUGUAUCAUAUUCUAAAAACGAUUUUUAUGAUAUUAGUCAGACUCCAACCUUAAA